UUUAACUCUUCGUCUUAUUUAAAUUUUUUGUGAUUAAUAUUUUUAUGUUCACUAGAUGAUAAUAUAUGAAUAACACUUUACACAUGACUAAUUUCUUUGAUCUUUUUUUAUAAAAUUUUUAAAUAAGACGGAUGGUUAAA
rnacentral:pre_miRNA from 1 species